rnacentral:rRNA from 1 species
AUUGAACGCUGGCGGCAUGCUUUACACAUGCAAGUCGAACGGUAACAGCACUUCGGUGGCUGACGAGUGGCGAACGGGUGAGUAAUACAUCGGAACGUGCCUAGUAGUGGGGGAUAACUACUCGAAAGAGUAGCUAAUACCGCAUGAGAUCUAAGGAUGAAAGCAGGGGACCUUCGGGCCUUGCGCUACUAUUGCGGUCGAUGGCAGAUGAGGUAGUUGGUGGGAUAAAAGCUUACCAAGCCGACGAUCUGUAGCUGGUCUGAGAGGACGACCAGCCACACUGGGACUGAGACACGGCCCAGACUCCUACGGGAGGCAGCAGUGGGGAAUUUUGGACAAUGGGCGCAAGCCUGAUCCAGCAAUGCCGCGUGCAGGAUGAAGGCCUUCGGGUUGUAAACUGCUUUUGUACGGAACGAAAAGCCCUCUUCUAAUACAGGAGGGUCAUGACGGUACCGUAAGAAUAAGCACCGGCUAACUACGUG